CUGGGCUCUCCAUCAUAUUCCAUUGGUUGAUGCAUCUGAUUUUAGGGUAUAUGUAUUUUUAAUGUGCUCCCCAAGAAGUCCUUACAUUCUGCUGCAUUGACAAACCUGUGGCCAAGUUUUAGGCCUAGGUUCUAAUUAAGCUUAAUUCUGGAGGCGAAGUCUCGGGGGGGGACACCCAGACCCUCCUCAGCCCUCAAGUCUCAUGGUAUUCCCCCCCGCCCCAACUCCAUUUAGUGACUCUGACAGUUGGCAGUGUGAACCUAGAGAUCCACAAUGGCUUCAUCCUCGGGAAGAUUCAGCUACCCAGGCCCAAGAUGGCCCCCGCAAAUGACACAUAUGAAAGCAUCUUCAGUCACUUCCGAGAGUAUGAGAUUGCCAUUCGCAAGGUGCCGGGAAACUUCACGUUCACACACAAGAAAGUAAAACAUGAAAACUUCAGCCUCCUAACCUCUGGAGAAGUGGGAGAGUUCUGUGUCCAGGUGAAACCAUCUGUCGCUUCCCGAAGUAACAAGGGGAUGUGGUCUAAAGAGGAGUGCGUCUCCCUCACCAGGCAGUAUUUCACCGUGACCAACGUCAUCAUCUUCUUUGCCUUUGUCCUGCUGCUCUCCGGAGCCCUCGCCUACUGCCUGGCCCUCCAGCUGUAUGUGCGGCGCCGAAAGAAGCUGCCCAGUGUCCUGCUCUUCAAGAAGCCCAGCCCCUUCAUCUUCAUCAGCCAGCGUCCCUCCCCAGAGACCCAAGACACCAUCCACCCGCUUGAUGAGGAGGCCUUUCUGAAGGUGUCCCCAGAGCUGAAGAACUUGGACCUGCACGGCAGCACAGACAGUGGCUUUGGCAGCACCAAGCCAUCCCUGCAGACUGAAGAGCCCCAGUUCCUCCUCCCUGACCCUCACCCCCAGGCUGACAGAACG
rnacentral:sRNA from 1 species